rnacentral:rRNA from 1 species
AGUGAACGCUGGCGGUAGGCCUAACACAUGCAAGUCGAACGGCAGCACAGUAAGAGCUUGCUCUUACGGGUGGCGAGUGGCGGACGGGUGAGGAAUACAUCGGAAUCUACUUUUUCGUGGGGGAUAACGUAGGGAAACUUACGCUAAUACCGCAUACGACCUACGGGUGAAAGCAGGGGAUCUUCGGACCUUGCGCGAUUGAAUGAGCCGAUGUCGGAUUAGCUAGUUGGCGGGGUAAAGGCACACCAAGGCGACGAUCCGUAGCUGGUCUGAGAGGAUGAUCAGCCACACUGGAACUGAGACACGGUCCAGACUCCUACGGGAGGCAGCAGUGGGGAAUAUUGGACAAUGGGCGCAAGCCUGAUCCAACCAUACCGCGUGGGUGAAGAAGGCCUUCGGGUUGUAAAGCCCUUUUGUUGGGAAAGAAAAGCAGCAGGUUAAUACCCCGCUGUUCUGACGGUACCCAAAGAAUAAGCACCGGCUAACUUCGUG